rfam:Mesitornis unicolor contig24986, whole genome shotgun sequence.
GCCCUGUGGUUACUGGACACUGCUUUGUGCAUGCAGUGCUUCAGUUGGUAGAAGUGGGCCAAAAGUGAUACUGUGAUUUACGCAUGGAGUCCGUGACACGUGAGCAGCCUCCAUAGCCCGAUCACAGUUACAGAC